rnacentral:rRNA from 1 species
AACCUGCCCACUGAGAAUUUAAAUGGCCGCGGUAUUUUGACCGUGCAAAGGUAGCAUAAUAAUUAGUUUUUUAAUUGAAAGCUGGAAUGAAAGGUUGGAUGAGAAAAUAACUGUCUCUAUUUACAUUAAUUAGAAUUUUAUUUUUAAGUAAAAAAGCUUAAAUAAAAAUAGAAGACGAGAAGACCCUAUAGAGUUUUAAUUUAGUUGGGGUGAUUGAAAAAUUUAAUAAACUUUUUUUAUGUUCGACCAUUAAUUUAUGAAUGAUUGAUCCUUAAAUUAAGAUUAAAAGAAAAAAUUACCUUAGGGAUAACAGCGUAAUUUUUUUAGAGAGUUCAAAUCGAAAAAAAAGAUUGCGACCUCGAUGUUGGAUUAAAAUUAAAUUUUGGUGUAGAAGCUAG